CUCUAGAGGGUAGAGUCAGAUAACAUCCCCUCACCCCCCCAAAAAAGCCCCACAUUUAUCUGAAGGUGAUAACUGGAAAAUUCGAGUGGAAAGAUGAGGACUGCUGAGGUGGUGAGGUUAGGUGCAGGGGGUUGGGGGUGACAGGUGAGCAGAGACUGAAGGGCGGUGAAGGAAGGCUCCAGGAACACCAGGGAUGUUAGGUGGUGAGCACAGCCUAUGACUGUCGGGAGCCUGAGCUGUCAGGAGGACAGAGUCGGGACGGAGACGUGACCGAGGCACACGGCCAC
rnacentral:lncRNA from 1 species